rnacentral:rRNA from 1 species
UACUCCUACGGGAGGCAGUAGGGGAUAUUGCACAAUGGGGGAAACCCUGAUGCAGCGACGCCGCGUGAGCGAUGAAGUAUUUCGGUAUGUAAAGCUCUAUCAGCAGGGAAGAAAAUGACGGUACCUGACUAAGAAGCCCCGGCUAACUACGUGCCAGCAGCCGCGGUAAUACGUAGGGGGCAAGCGUUAUCCGGAUUUACUGGGUGUAAAGGGAGCGUAGACGGCAGUGCAAGUCUGAAGUGAAAGGCAAGGGCUCAACCCUUGGACUGCUUUGGAAACUGUGCUGCUGGAGUGUCGGAGAGGCA